rnacentral:ncRNA from 3 species
GGGUGCGAUCAUACCAGCACUAAUGCACCG